UACAGAGGUGGCAAGCGUUGUUCGGAAUUACUGGGCGUAAAGGGCGCGUAGGCUGUUUCGUAAGUCCCGUGUGAAAGCCCCCGGCUCAACUGGGGAAUUGCACGGGAAACUGCGAGGCUUGAGUUCGGGAGAGGGAAGCGGAAUUCCGGGUGUAGCGGUGAAAUGCGUAGAUAUCCGGAGGAACACCGGUGGCGAAGGCGGCUGCCUGGACCGACACUGACGCUGAGGCGCGAAAGCUAGGGGAGCAAACGGG
rnacentral:rRNA from 1 species